AAAAAAAAAAACAAUGUGUUUUCAAAGAAAUAACAAAUUUAAUAUGAAAUUGAAAGAAAUCAAACAAAUAAACUCACAUAAUUAAAAAAAAAAACCAUUUCAUCAAUUUUAUCUCAAAAUAUAAAAUUUUAGGGUUAAUUAUAAAAAAAUCCUAAAAUUUUUUAAUUUUUUAAUUCAAUUCUGAAGUUUAUAUAAUUAUCAAUUAAACUAUCACGUUUGAUUGAUAUCUCAAAUUG
rnacentral:misc_RNA from 1 species